rnacentral:rRNA from 1 species
UGAGUAAUGCUUGGGAACUUGCCUUUGCGAGGGGGAUAACAGUUGGAAACGACUGCUAAUACCGCAUAAUGUCUACGGACCAAACGGGGCUUAGGCUUCGGCGCAGAGAGAGGCCCAAGUGAGAUUAGCUAGUUGGUGGGGUAAAGGCUCACCAAGGCGACGAUCUCUAGCUGUUCUGAGAGGAAGAUCAGCCACACUGGGACUGAGACACGGCCCAGACUCCUACGGGAGGCAGCAGUGGGGAAUAUUGCACAAUGGGGGGAACCCUGAUGCAGCCAUGCCGCGUGUGUGAAGAAGGCCUUCGGGUUGUAAAGCACUUUCAGUUGUGAGGAAAAGUGAGUAGUUAAUACCUGCUCACCGUGACGUUAACAACAGAAGAAGCACCGGCUAACUCCGUGCCAGCAGCCGCGGUAAUACGGAGGGUGCGAGCGUUAAUCGGAAUUACUGGGCGUAAAGCGCACGCAGGCGGUUUGUUAAGCUAGAUGUGAAAGCCCCGAGCUCAACUUGGGAUGGUCAUUUAGAACUGGCAGACUAGAGUCUUGGAGAGGGGAGUGGAAUUCCAGGUGUAGCGGUGAAAUGCGUAGAUAUCUGGAGGAACAUCAGUGGCGAAGGCGACUCCCUGGCCAAAGACUGACGCUCAUGUGCGAAAGUGUGGGUAGCGAACAGGAUUAGAUACCCUGGUAGUCCACACCGUAAACGCUGUCUACUAGCUGUUUGUGGCUUUAAGCCGUGAGUAGCGAAGCUAACGCGAUAAGUAGACCGCCUGGGGAGUACGGCCGCAAGGUUAAAACUCAAAUGAAUUGACGGGGGCCCGCACAAGCGG